UUAUUAUUUAUGUAAAAAUAAGUACAUGCUUUUAGAUUUUUCUGAUAUUAAUGUUUAAAAAUGAGCUUGUUGAGUGUUUCCACUUAUUGGUAGUUCAGAUUUUCAGAAAAUCAGCCCCUCUACUAUCAAUGUGUGUGUAUUAGUGAGCAGUGGGGACAAAUUUUAAUGAAACGUCUUGAUCAAUCAGAGUGGAUAAGAUCCUUUUCACCGUGGAACGUCACAUAUAAAUUUACAUAUAAUAUUUUCUUUCUCUAUUGUUAUAAAUUUGUUCUCUAAAGUGUAAAAAAGAUUUUUGCACACUUGUAGUGUGUGUGUUAUUUGAAGUUAUAAGAGUUACUGAUUUACAUGUUGAACAAACAAAUAUUUAUUUAAUCAUUCAAAAUAGAAGAUUAUGGAUGCUUCAUAUCUCUAUACUUUUAAAGAAUAUACUUCAAAUGAAAUUUGAAUUUUAAGUAAUACCGAAAUCGAGAGUUGUUAAUUGUCAAACGAUUGAAAGAUUUGUUUGAAAAUCAUGGCAUCACUGAUUAAUCUUACAAUAGUGGAAAAGGAAAUCACCACUAAAUCUCCGUUUAUUUUUGAUCCACAUGUUGGAGAAUAUUUUCUAUUUUUAAUAACAAUUCCUGCAGAAACUGUGCUGAAUUCCAGUGAAUAUAAAACCAGCGCAGUUUUACAGGAAAGUCCAUUGAUAACCUGUGAUAUCAAAUUUAGUAAAAUUGGCACUUGUUUGAGUGGGGAAAUAAACUUUUCAGAGAAUUCAUCAAAUAAGCAAUAUGCAGUAACUCUUUACUACAUAAAUUCUGAGCAUAAAUUUGAAUUAUCAGAAACAAUUGAUGUGCCACCUAUUAAACAUAAGUGUUCUCAUUUCUUUAAUCAUGAAUAUAAAUGUGUUAGACAUAGUAAUUUUAAAACGUACGUUCUAUGUGAAAAUUCCAUCAACAACAGUUUUUAUAUAUAUUCUGCAAAGUAGCUGUGAAAAACCUUUCAUCUGAAAAUCUAAAGAUUUCAGAAAAGGAAACACCCACGAAAUUAGAUUCUAUUUAUAAAGAAAAAGAAUUCACUGAUUUCAAGAUCAUUUGCCAGGAUCAAGAGUUCUUGAUUCAUAAAGCUGUUCUUUCGCAAUCAUCUCCUGUUUUUCGUGCCAUGUUUGAUAUCCCAAUGAGAGAGAGUAAAGAGAACAAAGCCGAAAUUAAAGAUUUCAGUCCACCCGUCGUUGAAUUAAUGCUACAUUACAUGUACUCCGAAGAAAUUAAGAAUGAUUUAUCUCUUGAAACAUUGAAACAACUUAUGGAAGCUGCAAAUAUGUAUCAACUAGAGGAUUUAAAAAAGCUAUGCUUGAGGGAAAUAUGCAAAUUUAUCAAAGAUAUCAGUGACGUUGUAAAUAUCAGUAUCUUCAUUGGAGCUGAGUUUAAAGAAGAUUUGAUUGAACGUAUAAAACAUAUCAACCUUCGUGAAUUUUAAAGAAAAAACUUCUUUCAUUUUCAAGAGGAAACUAGGUUUAAAUUUAUUUUAAAGACAAAAUUACGUUCAAGUUUAAUUUAAAGGAUAAACAAAGAUUAUGUUUGUUUUAAAGAAUAUGCUUUAAGUUUACUUUACGUAAAAAGCCACAUUUCAUGAAAUGUUAUUUUAAAAAGUUCCAUUUAAAUUAUUUAGAAAAUUGUCAUAAUGCUUUACAAAUUUUAUUUAUCAUCACUCAAACUGUAAAUUUUAAACGAGCAAAAUAUUCCAACACAUCGUUUACAAACUGUUUAGUUUCUUCAAUUUAUUUCUGUAAAAAAAAUAAUAUGUAUAUUUAAAACUAUCAUUAAAUGCACUAUAUUUUGCAAAA